rnacentral:rRNA from 1 species
UACGUAGGGUGCGAGCGUUAAUCGGAAUUACUGGGCGUAAAGCGUGCGCAGGCGGUGAUGUAAGACAGAUGUGAAAUCCCCGGGCUCAACCCGGGAACUGCAUUUGUGACUGCAUCGCUGGAGUGCGGCAGAGGGGGAUGGAAUUCCGCGUGUAGCAGUGAAAUGCGUAGAUAUGCGGAGGAACACCGACGGCGAAGGCAGCGCCCUGGACGAGACCUGACGCUCAGGCACGAAAGCUGGGGGAGCAAACAGG